rnacentral:lncRNA from 1 species
UAAUGGUACGAAGCUUUCUUGAUCCUACACAAAUAAAAAAAAAGCGAUCAUGAGCAUGUAAAUUUCUGACACUUGUCGCCUACUUAAUUUGGUAAUUUCUUAGUGAUUUCUAUGCAUGUGAUGUAUAAAUAUACAUCUAGUUCUAGGACUUGAUUUUGGUCUAUAGAAAUAGUUUUUGGGGAGGGGAAUGUGGAGUAUUGUGGUUAGUAUGGAGGAUUAUUGGAAGGAAGAUUCCGGUGGAGUGAAGCCGAAGCAUUCAUCGGGUGGGGGGUUACAAAUAUGGAGCGGUAUUAAGUAGUGUUGUACAUGUGUACGUUCCCCCUCAAGUGGUUGAAAGUUAUGAUCUGUUAGACGUAAAAUGUAUGGUCUUGUGAAGAAACCCUAAACACCAGAAGCGCAACGAAGCUGUUGCCAUGCGUGUACGACUCAGAUGCAUACUACGGGCACAUUCCGAACAGGUCCAGGUCAUCAUUAGUAAAAUUAUCAUCCCAUUACAAAUACGGGAAUACAAAUUGUUAGGGCCUCUUAUUUGAAUUUGCAAGUGUUGAAGUAAAAUGAAGAAGAUCUGAUGCUUAAUCAGAACAAAUGAAUAACAAGUCAAGAAAGGUUAAAACCAAUGAUGAUAAAAUGACAAUGAGAUGAUUCGACUUCGAUUAUUUGCAUCAGAGAAAGAUCAAGAGAUCUUUCCACAAAAGGAAGAAGAACAGACUAGGAAAAGACGAAAUCUGAUCUAUCUGAUGAUAAUAUGAUGAUUACAAUCUGACCCGGAUCAGAUCAGAUCAUCAAAUAUCUGAUGACCCCACCUGCCUGACAUGAUAAGGAUGGCAGACUUCAAGUUGGCAAAUGGAAGAUUUCGGAUACAAUGAAUAUGCCAAACGAUUACUUUCCAGAAGUCAACUACAUGAAUAAACAAAUGUUUAUUCAUGCCAAACAUUCUAUAUAAAUGGAGAACUGAAUCAACGAAGAGUAAAUGAGCCAAGCAUUUAAGAUCAAUAUCUUACAUGCUCCACCGCCCUUCAUUGAUUCUCCACUCAAAAUUUUUUAAGUUUUGUUCUGUAUUAGCCAAUAAGUAACCAAUCACCUUGCAAUCUUUUGCAAGUGAUAUAAACUUGAAAAAUUCCGUACUUUCGUUUCUUGAAAGUUUGAUUUCUGACUCUACACAUUAUUUUCAAUACAUGUUGAAAUCACUUGCCAUAGUUUUAAGCCAAAGGUUGUUUAUCUGGAUCAAUACAAAUAACAAACUAACCUACUAACAAUGAUGGUAUAACAAUAUUCAGUGCAGAUAAUGGCCCAUAGGUUUUGUCAGCAUAAUCCCAAGUUACAUAUAUAGGUUAGCGAGAUAUGAAAAUAUAAUGAACACUUAGUCUCUCAUUACUCGUAUAUUAUAAAAGAACAUGUGUUAGUUCUUACGCCGGAGGAUGGUCACAGAGAGACCCCACUCUGUGUGAUGGGUCUAAUUGGUGUUGGUGUGUGCAGGGUUUAGUGAAAAGGAUCCUUUUAUUUGCCAUCAUAGAGGAAGGAUGUAUACGGUGCAUAUCGGGGAUGAGGUAUAUGGUGCAUGUCGCUGGGGAUUUCUUUACUCUAGAUUGACGUCACUUGUAAGACAAAACACAUAUUAUUGUUCUUUUGUUAGAUUUUAAUAGUUAUAUUGUAUUACCUCUCUGUUUGUAAAUAUUCAACACCAAUAUUGCUAUUGCAUGGUGUAUGUUAGGGAAAUUAGAGAUUUUCAACGGAUGAUCUGAGAGGCGUGUGCUUACUUUCAGGUCAAAUUAUUUUG